GGCGCAAUGGUAGCGCGCCAGACUUCUACUGGUGUUCCUACUCAGCACACGCGAAAUCUGGAGGCUGUGGGUGUAAGUCACACGCA